GAUGAACGCUGGCGGCGUGCCUAAUACAUGCAAGUCGAGCGAACUGACUAGAAGCUUGCUCCUCUUAUGUUAGCGGCGGACGGGUGAGUAACACGUGGAUAACCUACCUAUAAGACUGGGAUAACUUCGGGAAACCGGAGCUAAUACCGGAUAAUAUUUUGAACCGCAUGGUUCAAAAGUGAAAGACGGUCUUGCUGUCACUUAUAGAUUGAUCCGCGCUGCAUUAGCUAGUUGGUAAGGUAACGGCUUACCAAGGCAACGAUGCAUAGCCGACCUGAGAGGGGGAUCGGCCACACUGGAACUGAGACACGGUCCAGACUCCUACGGGAGGCAGAAGUAGGGAAUCUUCCGAAAGGGGCGAAAGCCUGACGGAGCAACGCCGCGGGAGUGAUGAAGGUCUUCGGAUCUUAAAACUCUGUUAUUAGGGAAGAACAGAUGUGUAAGUAACUGUGCACAUCGUGACGGUACCUAAUCAGAAAGCCACGGCUAACUACGUG
rnacentral:rRNA from 1 species